rnacentral:rRNA from 1 species
UACGGAGGGUGCGAGCGUUGUCCGGAAUCACUGGGCGUAAAGGGCGCGUAGGUGGCUCGGCAAGCGUGCGGUGAAAGUUCGGGGCUCAACCCCGAAUCUGCCGUGCGAACUGCCAGGCUUGAGCACUGUAGAGGCAGAUGGAAUUCCGGGUGUAGCGGUGGAAUGCGUAGAGAUCCGGAAGAACACCGGUGGCGAAGGCGGUCUGCUGGGCAGUUGCUGACACUGAGGCGCGACAGCGUGGGGAGCAAACAGG